rnacentral:lncRNA from 1 species
GAGAAAGAAGCGGCCAUGCUUAAGGAGAGAAGGUGGCCACAUGGCAGAGUGCAAGACAGCAUGAAAUAGAUGAGCUCACCAAAAGAUCGUCAGGGACCAGACCAGCAUGUGCCUGAUGCAUGGAUAAACAGAUACAACAUUUACUGCAAUUGCCAAAGAAGCUGCCCAUCACUGUCACGCCAGCUGCACAGUCUUCACUGAGGGAGCUUCCAAGUGCCAUUUUAUUAAUGUGGAGAGAAGAAUAACAGAUCAUAAAUGUUUGAGGUCUAUCCAGCCGGAGUACAGGGGAUUAUCUAUUAUCCUGUGAGCUCGUGUUUUAUUCAUCUUCGUGUUCCCGUGAAUUAUACAGUGCAAAAACUGCUUAGAAGGCUUCCCCUCCUAGACAGCCCAACAGCACCUCAACCUCAGCCGGAAUGAAACUGAAUGUGUUACUGCGCACCCAAACAGAGCUUCUCUUCCUGCUUUCUCUCUCCUGGUAAAUGUGGCACUGCCAUUCCAAAUCUGGCAUGCAUCCUAAGAUCCUUUCUCUCCCUUAUCCCCAUCUCCCAUUCAACUGGUUUCUAUAUAAUGCUACCUCUCCUAAUGUCUCUCACACCUAUAUCCUCUUCACUUUCUGUGGGGUUUGACCAGAAGCUCCUAAUCAAAUCUUGUCCGCAAACCUACCCUUUUUUGGUCUACCUUCAACAUUCCUAUCAGAGGCAUCAUUAUAAAACAAAAACAUGAUUAUGUCACUGACCUGCUUAAAACCCUUCUUUGGCCCACCAUUGCCUAGAGUUCUCUUGAGUUCAAGCUCAGCAUCAUCCCAAACCUGCAAAGCCCCACCAUGAACUGGCCUCUCAUCUCCAGCCAGUCAUCUCCAAGCAUGGAAGCUGUAGUCAAAUGACCUGCCAAGCAUGCGCACUGAGUCUAGGAGACUUCACUUUCACCCUGCACUUUGGUCCCACCCACACUCAUUAUCUUCCUGGAGAUCUCCAAAUCAUCCCACCUCUACCAUCCCCUCUUCUAAGAAAGCUUCUCUCACACAGUCACCAUCCUUUGCCAGGGCCCCAGGGCAGAAGUCAUCUGUCCCUCUUUUUAUGAAACUAUUCUAUCUUUGUUUACCACCAUAAGAAUUCUUGACCAGGCGCAGUGGCUCACACCUGUAAUCCCAGCA